AUAUAAUACUGGAAAUAUGUUAACUCUGAGGUUGGAAAUACGUAAAAUCUGACCAACAAUUGUCAGCAAGAAGCGGGACAAUGACCAAACCGACAAUAAAACUUGGAGAUUUAAGAAACAUUUCUAGGUAUGUUCCAUUACAUGGUAUGUAUAGCACGUACCUCUUCUAGGUAUGUUCCAUUACAUGGUAUGUAUAGCACGUACCUCUUCUAGGUAUGUUCCAUUACAUGGUAUGUAUAGCACGUACCUCUUCUCAGAAACGAUCAACAAUACUCAACUUCUUUUCUUACGGCUUGUUCCAAAUAUUUGGCUUCCUGCCAGACUGAAACAAUCUAAUCUGGGGACUACUGUGGACGGGGCUCUUAAGUUCAGUUAAGUUUAUUUCUUUCGUACAUAUAUCUGCAUGUAUAUAUUUUUAAUUUAAAAAGUUAUCAAACUGUAUAUACUGUACAUAUAUCUGCAUGUAUAUAUUUUAUCAAACUGUAUAUACUGUACAUAUAUCUGCAUGUAUAUAUUUUAUCAAACUGUAUGUACUGUACAUAUAUGCAAGAUGAACUAAACAGGAAAGAGUCUGAUACUCGAGAUAAAUAAAUAACUAAAUAAACAGAACAACAUAACACA